UCCGAGUUGACCCCGGCAGUCUCCUAUGAGUCCCCACCAUCACGUGCUGGCAACAUAGAACGAGGGUUGCGCUCGUUGCGGGACUUAACCCAACAUCUCACGACACGAGCUGACGGCAACCAUGCACCACCUGUGAGGCGCCCUUGCGGACCCGACAUCUCUGCCGGUUUUCACCCCAUGUCAAGCCUUGGUAAGGUUCUUCGCGUCGCGUCGAAUUAAUCAACAUGCUCCGCUGCUUGUGCGGGCCCCCGUCAAUUCCUUUGAGUUUUAGCCUUGCGGCCGUACUCCCCAGGCGGGGUGCUUAAUGCGUUAGCUUCGGCACGGAGGGAGUUGACACCCCCCACACCUAGCACCCAUCGUUUACGGCGUGGACUAC
rnacentral:misc_RNA from 1 species